rnacentral:rRNA from 1 species
GACAGAGGGUGCAAACGUUGCUCGGAAUCACUGGGCGUAAAGGGCGUGUAGGCGGUAGAGAAAGUCGGGCGUGAAAUCCCUGGGCUCAACCCAGGAACUGCACUCGAAACUUCCCUUCUUGAGUGCAGGAGAGGAAAGCGGAAUACCUGGUGUAGAGGUGAAAUUCGUAGAUAUCAGGUGGAACACCAGUGGCGAAGGCGGCUUUCUGGACGGUAACUGACGCUGAGACGCGAAAGCGUGGGGAGCAAACAGG